rnacentral:rRNA from 1 species
GAUCCUGGCUCAGGACGAACGCUGGCGGCGUGCUUAACACAUGCAAGUCGAACGGAGCGCCAUGGAAUGAGGUUUCGGCCAAAGGAAAUGGUUGCUUAGUGGCGGACUGGUGAGUAACGCGUGAGGAACCUGCCUUUCAGAGGGGGACAACAGUUGGAAACGACUGCUAAUACCGCAUGACGCAUGACCGGGGCAUCCCGGACAUGCCAAAGAUUUAUCGCUGAAAGAUGGCCUCGCGUCCG